AUUGAACGCUGGCGGCAUGCCUUACACAUGCAAGUCGAACGGUAACGGGCCUUCGGGUGCCGACGAGUGGCGAACGGGUGAGUAAUGCAUCGGAACGUACCUUUCAGUGGGGGAUAACGUAGCGAAAGUUACGCUAAUACCGCAUAUUCUGUGAGCAGGAAAGCAGGGGAUCGCAAGACCUUGCGCUGAUUGAGCGGCCGAUGUCAGAUUAGCUAGUUGGUGAGGUAAAGGCUCACCAAGGCGACGAUCUGUAGCGGGUCUGAGAGGAUGAUCCGCCACACUGGAACUGAGACACGGUCCAGACUCCUACGGGAGGCAGCAGUGGGGAAUUUUGGACAAUGGGCGCAAGCCUGAUCCAGCCAUGCCGCGUGAGUGAAGAAGG
rnacentral:rRNA from 1 species